rnacentral:rRNA from 1 species
AGAGAUUGAACAUAAGAGUUUGAUCCUGGCUCAGAUUGAACGCUGGCGGCAUGCUUUACACAUGCAAGUCGGACGGCAGCGGGGUAGUGCUUGCACUACUGCCGGCGAGUGGCGAACGGGUGAGUAAUAUAUUGGAACGUACCGAGUAAUGGGGGAUAACCAAUCGAAAGAUUGGCUAAUACCGCAUACGCUCUGAGGAGGAAAGCAGGGGACCUUCGGGCCUUGCGUUAUUCGAGCGGCCAAUAUCUGAUUAGCUAGUUGGUGGGGUAAAGGCCUACCAAGGCGACGAUCAGUAGCGGGUCUGAGAGGAUGAUCCGCCACACUGGGACUGAGACACGGCCCAGACUCCUACGGGAGGCAGCAGUGGGGAAUUUUGGACAAUGGGCGCAAGCCUGAUCCAGCCAUGCCGCGUGUCUGAAGAAGGCCUUCGGGUUGUAAAGGACUUUUGUUAGGGAAGAAAAAGGAACGGUUAAUACCCGUUUCUGCUGACGGUACCUAAAGAAUAAGCACCGGCUAACUACGUGCCAGCAGCCGCGGUAAUACGUAGGGUGCGAGCGUUAAUCGGAAUUACUGGGCGUAAAGCGAGCGCAGACGGUUACUUAAGCAGGAUGUGAAAUCCCCGGGCUCAACCUGGGAACUGCGUUCUGAACUGGGUAGCUAGAGUAUGUCAGAGGGGGGUAGAAUUCCACGUGUAGCAGUGAAAUGCGUAGAGAUGUGGAGGAAUACCGAUGGCGAAGGCAGCCCCCUGGGAUAAUACUGACGUUCAUGCUCGAAAGCGUGGGUAGCAAACAGGAUUAGAUACCCUGGUAGUCCACGCCCUAAACGAUGUCGAUUAGCUGUUGGGCAGCUUGACUGCUUAGUAGCGUAGCUAACGCGUGAAAUCGACCGCCUGGGGAGUACGGUCGCAAGAUUAAAACUCAAAGGAAUUGACGGGGACCCGCACAAGCGGUGGAUGAUGUGGAUUAAUUCGAUGCAACGCGAAGAACCUUACCUGGUCUUGACAUGUACGGAACCUUCCAGAGACGGAAGGGUGCCUUCGGGAGCCGUAACACAGGUGCUGCAUGGCUGUCGUCAGCUCGUGUCGUGAGAUGUUGGGUUAAGUCCCGCAACGAGCGCAACCCUUGUCAUUAGUUGCCAUCAUUUAGUUGGGCACUCUAAUGAGACUGCCGGUGACAAACCGGAGGAAGGUGGGGAUGACGUCAAGUCCUCAUGGCCCUUAUGACCAGGGCUUCACACGUCAUACAAUGGUCGGUACAAAGGGUAGCCAAGCCGCGAGGCGGAGCCAAUCUCAUAAAACCGAUCGUAGUCCGGAUUGCACUCUGCAACUCGAGUGCAUGAAGUCGGAAUCGCUAGUAAUCGCAGGUCAGCAUACUGCGGUGAAUACGUUCCCGGGUCUUGUACACACCGCCCGUCACACCAUGGGAGUGGGGGAUACCAGAAGUAGGUAGGGUAACCGUAAGGAGCCCGCUUACCACGGUAUGCUUCAUGACUGGGGUGAAGUCGUAACAAGGUAGCCGUAGGGGAACCUGCGGCUGGAUCACCUCCUUUCUAGAG